UCUGAGAUUAAGUUACAAGAAGAACGAUUUCUUUUCUUGCUUAUGAAAGCUACCCCGUGGAGACGCCAAUUUGGCAAGAGACGGAAGGAGGCUUCCAGUCAACAGCCAGGGAGGGUCUCGGUCCAAUCACCUCUGAGGACCCGAAUUCUGCCGACGACCACGUUGAGCGAGCUCAGACAUAGACCUUCCCCAAGCAAGCCUUGUGAGAGGUCCUAAGACAGAGGAUCCAGCUACACUCUGCCCAGAUUCCUGAUCCACAGAAACUGUGGGCUAAUACACGCUGCUGUUCCUAAUGAAUAAUAAAUGUGAAUUAUAGUCAAUGUAAAUGUUGCCUUAAGACGCUUAGUGCAGGGGUAAUUUGUUGCAUAGUAGUAAAUAGUUAAUACAGGAUCCCUAGCAUGGUAUAAUCAAGGAAAGAAACAUUUCUUUCUGCUGUCCUCUGCCUGUCAAGAGCAUUAUUCCAAUACAUUUAUAUAAAAUUUAAAAUAAUGAGCUUUCUUUCAUAGUUCAAGAUUCUAAAAUGCGAAUGAAGGAACCCUUUAAAGGAGCUAACCAACCAGGGGAACAAUUCUCCCAGGAAGUUCUGGUAAACUGGAUGAUGGCCACCUACAGCAAUGCCCACUGUUGGUAAUGUAGAAUGUUAAAACUCACCUUUGGGGCAAAGACCAAUUUUGAUUCCAUACAUCCCUUUUAAAAUUUCCACUUCCUCUUGAAAGGGAAAGCUAUUUUUCGCUAACUUCAUCUUGUAACAUUAAAAAAAAUCAAUUUUCACCAAUAGAACACCCUGGAAUGCCUUCCAGAGAGGAUAUUAAUUAUCGCAAUCACAUAAACAGAACCGUAUCUGCUCUGAACAAGUCUUUAUUUCAUGCUUGAGAUCAUUUCCACAACCUUUGGAGACAACCCUUUUAUUUUCAGGAGUAGUUCUAAGCCUGUGUCCCUGUUGAGAGAGGAUCACGGCGGUCCGCAGCCAGUAGCUUCUUUGUACGAGCCUUUCUUCCCUUCUCUGUCCAGGAAGUUCACUCAGCUGAAGCUAUCUGGUGUGACAGUGAGUGAGGCAGCUGGAUGAAGUCAUGGUCAUCAUUCAGCCUGAAUCCAACCCAUGAUGGUUUCUCACAGGUUUGAAUUACACAUCCACACCCUUUGCCGAUGGGGAUUUGCAGUGCCUCUUGGGAAGGAAAGAUUAUCCCUCACCCAUUGCCUUUGGCCUUAACCAUGUGACCCGCUUUGGCUAAUGGAAUGUAGGUAGAAGUGAAUGGGUGUCAGCUCCCAGCUGACAUCGUUAAGAGACCUGGAGAGUAAGAAAGACCGUCAUCUCACCAUCUCUCUGAAGAUCUUCUACAGUGGACAGAGUCGGGUGGAACAAAUGUGAUCCUACCUGGAGAUGGCACGUUGGCCCAGAUCAUCUUUGGCAAGUCUUCAUUUCAGGGUCUUCUACGAAACGUCUGGCCCUGUCAGCUGAUUUGCCACUUCUCCGCUUCCGUAAAUCCACGGGCGCAUUGUCUCAGAGUGUUCCAGUGCCGUCUCUCUACCAUAA